rnacentral:lncRNA from 1 species
CCAAACUGAGCAAAAUAUGUAAUUUGGUGUAGUCCAUGAUAUUUAUAUGGCCAAAAAACAAGAGGAAAUUCCAAUAGCUUGUAAUGUAAAUCAAUGAGAUAGCUCUAGAACAAAGAGUGGACCUGGAGAACUCAUCCGCAAUCUAAAGAAACAACUAUUACUAAACUAAACCUAAAGCAUGACUCGACUGGAACCGGCACUUCAGCGCUCAGAAAGUCGCUCUGUGAUAGAAAUGCAGAGCAGAAGAGGGAGCGCCAACACAAGCAGACGAGGAAGCAUCAGCAUGAGCAGAAGAGGAAGUGUCAGCCAACACACAGACACUAGAAGGGAAACAGAACAAAGCAGCAGCCGCGCCUUUUUUAAAAGGGCCAAUCGCUUCCUCUCACGGGACAGGGAACAGGAAGAUGGCAGUCCUCCCGCUCCCGUGCGCUACUUCGAGAGGGGCCACCCUCUUCCAGCCAAUCACAGUCCUGAGCGCAAAGCCACAAUCCCCUACCGAAACCCUGACCUGGGUCUCCCGUCCUAUAGGAGGCGCUCCGACAAUCUCAGCAACGAGGCAAUGAGCGGCCUCUCCCCCCAGCGACACAUGUCCUAUUCAAAUUUCAGACGCGGGGACAGCCAAUCCCGUGCAAGCCCUCGUUCCAGCAGCCCGAGAUCUACGAACGUCUCACCGCAGAGGCGAGGAGAAUCGCGCAGUUCGCCCCAUCGCCGAGGUUCCACCGGACACCGGACGUCCCACACGUCCUCUCAACAGGCUUCUGGGAAAUGCACUCCAUCACGAAGACGUGAUUCGGUGGUCACGCGCACCACGUCUCCCUCGCGAAGCUCAGGUACGAAUAAAUAUGGGGAGACCUUUAGCCCCGCCCACAAAAGAAGCCCCUCCCAGAGCUCCUACGGACACAGCUUAGAUUCUGAAAAGCUGUAUAAGAAUCUCAAAUCAAUCGUGAGUUCAGCAGAGUCAGACAUCUCCGAAGAAAGGAACGGCUGGUCGAAAAGACAUUCUGAUGUGGAAAUCGAUGGCGAUUAUAAUGAACGCAGACACAGUGGUCGCAAUAGCGGUCGCAGCAGUCGAAAGAGUGGUGCCCGCAAUACUGGAUACAACAGUCGGGAUUUCUCUCCUAAACGAGGCUAUCGUGAUGACAAAACAAGCCGCGGCAGUCGUAAUAGUGGCUACAACAGUGGAUCUAACAGCCCUGGUGCCUCAACGCCUUAUCAAGAUUACGAUGAACAUGGUAUACUAAAAAACGGUACUUCGAAAAACAAAAGCCAAAGGAAUGGUGGAUACUCAGACACCUCUGGCAAACAAUCCAGAUCUGAUUCCCGCCAUUCGCUAAGCCCCACCCACUCCUCUCUAAGCCCCGCCUCACCUGCAUCAACACCAAAUAUCUCCCAAUCAAGGCGGAGCCGGGAUCAGGUUCCAUCCCCUGAUUUGCCCAAAUCCCAAGCCUUAAUAUCAGAGACGGACAAGCCGGUCAAUGAUCGGAGCAGAAGCAACAUCAGGCGGGGCUUGGAGGCGCUAAUUCUUUCAGAGAACACCAGGUCUUCCAGCCAACCCGCAGUGCCAGAGAUGACCAUUGAGGACUAUGUGAUCAUUGCAGAUAUUCCCCGAUCGAAGCUGUACCCUGAGGAAGAGGAAGCAAUAAUAGUGAGGAGGAGACCACAGAGCCGGAGCCCACGCAGAGACAAUCAGCACAGCUAUGGGGAUGGGAGAUAUGACUGUGAGCGUGAGGUUUCAGAAGAGCGAGGCAGAGGAAGAGAAAGAGAGAGAGGAAGAGACCGCAGAGAGAAAGAACGGAGACGUCUAGACAAAGAGAUGGGAGGGUCGUCAAAAACCAACAGCACUGCAUCAGGCCAUACACAGAGGUCCAGCAAAAAUGGAGAAAGCAUUCGGAUGGUAAACGGAAAACAGAAAGGUCCAGAAGAGCCCCCUCAGAUGCAGGUAAAGUCACCUGAAGUUACACCAACGCUGAGAUAUUCGGUUUCGAGUUCAGAGGCACGUGUCUGUUUUCGCAGAACGCCAUUACAUAGUACAUUAUAUUUAGCGCCAGAUAUAAAUGUUUUAGUUAAGCUAUGA